UUGGUCUUUGUUGGUUCAUUGUCAUAUUAUGUGCUCAUCUCAACACCCUGUUGUUGUUUCUCCUCCCUCAUUCCCUAAAGUCCACCAGCUCCUCUAAUCCUGACAACUCUGCCCCAAAAAUGUUAUGGGCACCUUUACAUUAGCCUGCUCUAUUUUAAUAUUAAAGAAGACUUGACAGGUAGGAGGGAAGAGAAAAAAGGACGACGGAUGACACAAGUGCGACACCAUGACCAGAGAGUUUGACACACCACAAGGUUGACUGUGACACUGAGAUAGUGUCCACGAUAAACAGGACAGUAAAGAGAAACCCGAGAUGAGUUACCUAACGAGGACCAGUGAGUCAGAAGCGACAAGAGGCUGGAAAGAAUGAGUUCAACGCCUGAUAUAAGUUAAGGAAAGUUAAACAAGGAAAUGUGUGCGUGCGUGUCAUUCAUCAGCAGAGAAAGGACACGAACAGUGUGUAUCAACUCAGGACAACAAGUCCGUCUUUUAUUAUAUUUUCACUCGUCUCCUUCAUCUCCAUCAACAGCACACACUUCUGUUAGAACCCCCUUCAUAACAAAAGUCCCCCCCAGACACAAUUCUCACAACAGGAAGUACACCCUGACUUUCAACAAUAAACCAUUAAAUAAAAUAGCUUACAUACCUCCCCCUUUUCAAAAAAAAAACUUCCCCAUUUCUAAACGGCGACAGCAUAAACCCAACACCCAACGUGCAAAUACCAACACAUCUAGAACCAUGCAUCCCAAAAAAAAAAAACGUGUGACCCAGAGUUGCAUACAAUCCAGAACCCCCUAAAGAACAGUUAACCAACACAUCAGUCAAACAAAUCAACUAACCAACACAAACAACAUCGAAUCAAACCGGCGGUGUCACAGCUCUUCCAGAACUGGACACCGUUUUGCGUGGCUUCCUUGGGCCUAUGCCAUCAUCCACCAGUGGCCCCACAGUUUUUCUCUCGAGUGACCUCUCGUCCAGCAGUGAGGGAGCAUGAAGAGGAGAAGCUGGGAGGCUACUUAAAGAACCCACAGGCAGCGGUGGAUAGUAAGGUUUACGUCUGUCAUAAUGAACCACCCGCUCCUGUCCAGGGUUGAAAGGACACCUAAUGUGAUAGGUUAGUCCAGUUUCUCCUUGAGAGUCCAAAACAGUCAGGACCCUGUAGGGGCCCUUCCAGUGGAGUGCAAGUUUCACACAGUCCUGCUUAGGAUUAUGUAACCACACCUAAUCUCCCUCUGCAUAUAGCCAAUGAUGAACAGUCCCAUCAUAAUACAGUUUAGAGUAGGGUGUACACUGGUAUUAGGAAGUGUGAUAUGUGGUCGGACUGGCCCAGGUGCGGUAAGGGUUUAGCCCUGUAGCCCUGCUUGAUGUUCGUGAAGACUUUAUCCAAUGUGUUGGCUCCUCUUGUGGCACACUUCACGUGGAAUUUGGGGAGCACUGGUUUUAAAUCCACAUGAUUAAAGCCCCCCACGACGAUAUGCACAGCGUCAGGGUAUUUGGUCAGCUGAUUGCUAAUGCGUAGAAGAAUCAUGUAGAAAUCUUGUGGCUGUGUUAGCAUUAGCAUCUGGAGCUAUGUAAAAAGUGGUGAUCAGGACCAUGGUAAACUCUCUGGGAAGAUGCAUAGGUCUGCGUUUAACAGUCACAUACUCCAAGUCCGGAGAGCAGUGACUGUCCACAGUAACUGUGUUUUUACACCAGUUGUUGUCCACGUACAGACACAGCCCCCCCACCUCUGCUUUCCCCGGAGUCGCUGGUCCUAUCAUGGCGCUGUACCAUGUAGCCUGUUAGCUGGAUAGCGGAGUCCGGAAUAAAUGAGUGGAGCCAGGAUUCUGUGAUCAACAGAAUGCAGCUGUUCUGGAGGAUGUUGUUGGUCUCAUUUCAUCAGUUUUGUUGACUAGGGACCUGGCAUUGGUGAGGUAAAUGCUGGGAAGCGAUGGUUUAGCAGGCUGCUUCCGUAGCCUCGCUAGCGCGCCAGCCCUGCAGCCUCGCUUUUGCUUCGUCUCCCUUCGCCGUCUCCAUCGCCUGGCUGUGGGGAUAGUAAUCCAUGGAGACCUGGGACUCCUUGCUAUGUUUGAUGGGAUGUCAUGGAAACUGAGGAACUCUGUUGUUAACCUUCUCUCAUUACUAAUGCUGAUCUUAAGAAUUUCGUGCCGGCUGUAGAUGUUGUUCACCCAGCAGAACGUAGAUGACACAACAAACAAUACUAACAUACACUUCCAUACUAAGCACUGAAAUGAGGAGCACCGUGCCGCUGCUCCAUGUGCGCUGCCAUACUGUGUUGAAAUAGCACAUCUAUUAUAAUUUUAAGAAUGAUGCUUCUUUGAUACGCUUCAGAUCCUAACUCAGAAUUAUUCCUCUGCAUUAUUGAGCUCUCCUCAAACAGGCCAAC